AACUUUUAACAAAGGAUCUCUUGGCUCUCGCAUCGAUGAAGAACGCAGCGAAAUGCGAAAAGUAAUGUGAAUUGCAGAAUUCAGUGAAUCAUCGAAUCUUUGAACGCACAUUGCGCCCUCUGGUAUUCCUCAGGGCAUGCCUGUUCGAGCGUCAAUAACAACCAUUUCACAUGCUAUGUGGUAUUGGCUGAUGUGGAUGAUGGCACUUGUGGUGCUUGUCCCACUCAGCUGAAAUAUAUCGGCCAGAGAAGCAAGCCAUGGAAACAGACUCACAGAGUGUUAUACAAUGCUAGACUAGUCUGGAGCGGGUUUGAAUCUGUGCCACUGGACCCCCCGUUCAUCAAAACUAAAAGAUGUUGACCUCGGAUCAGGUAGGGAUACCCGCUGAACUUAAGCAUAUCAAUAAGCGGAGGCU
rnacentral:misc_RNA from 1 species